UAUUGGUCAAUGGGGGAAACCCUGAACCAGCAACGCCGCGUGAGGGAAGACGGCCUUCGGGUUGUAAACCUAAGUGAUCAGGGACGAAGGAAGUGACGGUACCUGAAAAGCAAGCUCCGGCUAACUACGUGCCAGCAGCCGCGGUAAUACGUAGGGGGCAAGCGUUAUCCGGAUUUACUGGGUGUAAAGGGAGCGUAGACGGUGAAGCAAGUCUGGAGUGAAAACCCGGGGCUUAACCCCGGGAUUGCUUUGGAAACUGUUUAACUGGAGUGCAGGAGAGGUAAGCGGAAUUCCUAGUGUAGCGGUGAAAUGCGUAGAUAUUAGGAGGAACACCAGUGGCGAAGGCGGCUUACUGGACUGUAACUGACGUUGAGGCUCGAAAGCGUGGGGAGCAA
rnacentral:rRNA from 1 species